UGUACAUAAUAUAAUUUCAUUUACAAUUAAUACAUAAUACAUACUACUUUUUAUCACAGUAUUAUGCUCUUGCUGGAAAACUCAGAAGUUUUAAUCUGAUUUUUAAAUAUAUGGCAAUGGGGUUGAAUUGAUGGCGGUGUGGAUUGAUAAAUGAUUUAAGGCGUUUAUAGCAAACAUGGCUUCCUAUAAUGUAAUAGCUAUUGUAUCGCUAAAACGUGCAUAAAUUCGAAUUUCCAAAUCCAAAGUUUAAAAUGAUUUUCCAACCGGAGACGCGAACCCCGAGUCUCGCAGUUCACAGUCCAAGGACACUGCAACAAUACCAAUUGACAGAACCUGCCACAUAAUGCUGUGUUAAAUAACAAAAAUAUUAAUAUCUGUAAAUGGAUUUUAAAGCAGACGGAGUCGCGAGAAAUAAUUAUAUAUGUUGAAAUGACUGAACAAAAUGAAUAAGAAGGAAAAAACACAGUUAAAAUGAGUUCACAGAAUGUAAGCUUUUGGACUUUCCUAUGACAGACGUGAACAGAUGUUUUUAAUGUACAACUGAAUGAUGAAACGAGCAAACUGCCCACCUGAUAAGCGACAUUCCAUAAAAGAUUAUAUAAACUUUGAAUUAUUAAAUACUACGAGGCACUAAUGUGAAUUAGAUGAGAAUUUUAUAAUGUUCUUCAAAUCGAAACUCAACAAUACGCAAUGCUGGAGGUAGAAAUACAUGACGCCGCUAUCUGCCAGUCGGGAUCUUGCAUUUGAAAAUUCUACCAUCUACCAUCCUCAUCUUUGGCCUCUGGAAGUCCAUUGCCGAACUUAGGCCUUCUAUAAAGAAUUCUACCAUACUCGUUAGCAUCUUCAGCCUUUGAAAGACCACAACUGAACUCAGGUUUUUCCAUAGAAAUUACCAGACCUACCUCUCAGAACGGCCUGUAUCUAGCGGGUUCCUGCAGCGUUAUAAUGCCACAAUAAUAUUGAUAUUUCAUAUUCUAUUCGCGUUUCGCUUUGUAUGGAAUAACAGACUCAUCUAUAUUGUUACCAAUUGCCUAACACUGUAAUUGUCGCAUCUGAUAAUCAAUAUAACCUUGAAACGCCUUCCGCACUCGACAGCUGGUAAAAUUAUUGUGUGCGAGCGGAUGUGGGGCGGCGCACACGGUUGCAGUUGCGAUUUUGCGACUAUAAGUCGCGGCUUUAUUGUUACGUAGUAUGUGUGCGCAGCCACGUCAGUAUACCGCGUUGAACUACGGCUAUUCCCUGCUUAGGACUGAGUUAUGAUUUUUUUUAUAGAGGCACAGCUAAGUGACCCCAUUGUACAUGAUAGUAAGUGGAGUAGAGUCUAAUAGAAUGUCGACUGACGAGAGAGAGACCCUUGAC